GACGAACGCUGGCGGCGCGCUUAACACAUGCAAGUCGAGCGAAGCUGCGGACGGGUGAGUAACACGUGAGUAACCUGCCUUAGACAUUGGGAUAGCCUCGGGAAACCGGGAUAAAUACCAAAUGGUCUAAGAUGGACUCGCGUCCCAUUCGCUAGUUGGUGAGGUAACGGCCCACCAAGGCGACGGUGGGUAGCCGGCCUGUGAGGGGGAUCGGCCACAUUGGAACUGAGAAACGGUCCAACCUCUACGGGAGGCAGCAGUGGGUAAUAUUGCACAAUGGAGGGAACUCUGAUGCAGCGACGCCGCGUGAACGAAGAAGGCUUUCGAGUCGUAAAGUUCUUUUAUAUGGGAAGCGGUACCAUAAGAAAAAGCCCCGGCUAACUACGUGCCAGCAGCCGCGGUAAUUC
rnacentral:rRNA from 1 species